rnacentral:misc_RNA from 1 species
GAUGAAGAACGUAGCGAAAUGCGAUAAGUAAUGUGAAUUGCAGAAUUCAGUGAAUCAUCGAAUCUUUGAACGCACAUUGCGCCCUCUGGUAUUCCGGGGGGCAUGCCUGUUCGAGCGUCAUUAUAACCACUCAAGCUCUCGCUUGGUAUUGGGGUUCGCGGUUCCGCGGCCCCUAAAAUCAGUGGCGGUGCCUGUCGGCUCUACGCGUAGUAAUACUCCUCGUGAUUGAGUCCGGUAGGUCUACUUGCCAGCAACCCCCAAUUUUUACAGGUUGACCUCGGAUCAGGUAGGGAUACCCGCUGAACUUAAGCAUAUCAAUAAGCGGAGGA